rnacentral:rRNA from 1 species
GACGAACGCUGGCGGCGUGCUUAACACAUGCAAGUCGAACGGCAAGGCCCUGCUUUUGUGGGGUGCUCGAGUGGCGAACGGGUGAGUAACACGUGAGUAACCUGCCCUGGACUGUGGGAUAACUUCAGGAAACUGGGGCUAAUACCGGAUAGGAGCUCCUGCUGCAUGGUGGGGGUUGGAAAGUUUCGGCGGUUGGGGAUGGACUGGCGGCUUAUCAGCUUGUUGGUGGGGUAGUGGCUUACCAAGGGUUUGAUGGGUAGCCGGCCUGGGAGGGUGAACGGCCCCAUUGGGACUGAGAUACGGCGCAGAGGCCUACGGGAGGCAGCAGUGGGGAAUAUUGUACAAUGGGCGGAAGCCUGAUGCAGCAACGCCGCGUGCGGGAUGAAGGCUUUCGGGUUGUAAACCGCAUUCGCCUGUGACGAAGCGUGAGUGACGGUAAUGGGUAAAGAAGCACCGGCUAACUACGUG